AAAUACGAUUGGAUACGCGCCAACAUAAAACGGAGUUCCCCGGAGAAUGAACUCCGGGAAGGUAGAGUCGAAAUUACUAUGAGAAAAUAUGCUAAAGUAGUCAAAAUGAAUGAACACAUUUAAUAAAUAAAAAAAUUUCUUUUCUGAUUCGUUUUUUUUUCUUACGACACGAUAAUAAAAUCUGGAUUCCCGGAUUUGUCGAACAAAACAACAAUCUCUGUUUGAGUUCUGAUUGGAAUUCUAAUUCAAGUGAACAAAGAAUGCAUGAUAUUUUAGUCA
rnacentral:lncRNA from 1 species